rnacentral:sRNA from 1 species
AUUCUGCCCAAGCGGGGAAGGAUGAGAAGCUUCGACCAAGGUUCGACUCGAGCGCCAGCGAGAGAGCGUUGCCGCAGG